UGAGAACGGCUACCACAUCCAAGGAAGGCAGCAGGCACGCAAAUUACCCACUCCCGGCACGGGGAGGUAGUGACAAAAAAUAACUGAUACGGGACUCUUAUGAGGCCCCGUAAUCGGAAUGAGUACACUUUAAAUCCUUUAACAAGGAUCCAUUGAAGGGCAAGUCUGGUGCCAGCAGCCGCGGUAAUUCCAGCUUCAAUAGCGUAUAUUAAAGUUGUUGCGGUUAAAAAGCUCGUAGUUGGUUCUGCGUGCCACGCUGUCGGUUCGCCGCCUGCCGGUGUAACUGGCAUGUCGUGGCAUGUCCUGUCGGUGGCGUUCGGGAGCCUCGUCUAGGCGACGGCCCUUGCCCAAAGCUCGGUGUCCGGAGGCCGGGGGUCCACCCGUUCGCCUACUCUAUCCUACCUAGGUGCUCUUCACCGAGUGUCGAGGUAGGCCGACACGUUUACUUUGAACAAAUUAGAGUGCUCAAAGCAGGCUGAAAUCUCUGCCUGAAUAGUGGUGCAUGGAAUAAUAAAACAGGACCUUGGUUCUAUUUUGUUGGUUCUUAGGAACACAAGGUAAUGAUCAAUACGGACAGGCGGGGGCAUUCGUAUUGCGACGUUAGACUUGGCAAAUGCUUUCGCGGUGAAAUUCUUGGAUCGUCGCAAGACGCACAAGAGCGAAAGCAUUUGCCAAGUAUGUCUUGAUUGAUCAAGAACGAAAGUUAGAGGUUCGAAGGCGAUCAGAUACCGCCCUAGUUCUAACCAUAAACGAUGCCAGCCAGCGAUCCGCCGAUGUUCCUCCGAUGACUCGGCGGGGAGCUUCUUCCCGGGAAACCAAAGCUUUUGGGUUCCGGGGGAAGUAUGGUUGCAAAGCUGAAACUUAAAGGAAUUGACGGAAGGGCACCACCAGGAGUGGAGCCUGCGGCUUAAUUUGACUCAACACGGGAAACCUCACCAGGCCAGGACAUUGGAAGGAUUGACAGAUUGAUAGCUCUUUCUUGAUUCAGUGGGUAGUGGUGCAUGGCCGUUCUUAGUUGGUGGAUCGAUUUGUCUGGUUAAUUCCGAUAACGAACGAGACUCUAGCCUAUUAACUAGGCGUUUACCGGUGUCCCCGCCACCGGCGACAAUCAUUCUUCUUAAGGGGACAGGCGGCUUAUAGCCGCACGAGAUUGAGCAAUAACAGGUCUGUGAUGCCCUUAGAUGUCCUGGGCCGCACGCGCGCUACACUGAAGGAAUCAGCGUGUGCCUCCCUGGCCGAAAGGCCCGGGUAAUCCGCUGAACCUCCUGCGUGCUAGGAAUUGGGGCUUGCAAUUGUUCCCCAUGAACGAGGAAUUCCCAGUAAGCGCGAGUCAUAAGCUCGCGUUGAUUACGUCCCUGCCCUUUGUACACACCGCCCGUCGCUACUACCGAUUGAAUGAUUUAGUGAGGUCUUCGGACUGGCGGUAAUCCCUGCUGACUUGUCUGUAGCGAUGAACGCUGGAAAGAUGACCAAACUUGAUCAUUUAGAGGAAGUAAAAGUCGUAACAAGGUUUCCGAG
rnacentral:rRNA from 1 species